CUGUUCUCUUCCGGUCGCCGCCGGUUUUCCUUGUCCAAUGACAUUCCCUUCCAACCCAUUCGCAAGUUUACUUUCCCUGUAUGUUCCGUGCCGUUAUGUCUUUCCAUCUCGGUCUCGGCCUUCCGAGCGACGGUUCCCUCCAAGGUUCGUUUUCUAAAUUGCAGGCCUCAGCAGCGAUCGCUCUUUUGCCAUUACGCGUGCGCUACCCACUUUUAUUGGCGAUUUCAUUCGCAAAAUGUUCGUGCUCCGAUACAGAUUCCUUGGUCCCCUAUCCAACUAUUCAUUGAUAUUGCACCGUAUCCCGGUUAAGAACCGACAGCAUUCAACGGAAGGUCUGUAAGGAACGUUCCUACCAAAAGAACAGAUAUCGUAUA